rnacentral:rRNA from 1 species
UUCCUGUACCACCUAUAAUCGUUUUAAUCGAUGGGGGGACGCAGUAGGAUAGGCGAAGCGUGCGAUUGGAUUGCACGUCUAAGCAGUAAGGCUGAGUAUUAGGCAAAUCCGGUACUCGUUAAGGCUGAGCUGUGAUGGGGAGAAGACAUUGUGUCUUCGAGUCGUUGAUUUCACACUGCCGAGAAAAGCCUCUAGAUAGAAAAUAGGUGCCCGUACCGCAAACCGACACAGGUAGUCAAGAUGAGAAUUCUAAGGUGAGCGAGCGAACUCUCGUUAAGGAACUCGGCAAAAUGACCCCGUAACUUCGGGAGAAGGGGUGCUCUUUAGGGUUAACGCCCAGAAGAGCCGCAGUGAAUAGGCCCAAGCGACUGUUUAUCAAAAACACAGGUCUCUGCUAAACCGUAAGGUGAUGUAUAGGGGCUGACGCCUGCCCGGUGCUGGAAGGUUAAGAGGAGUGGUUAGCUUCUGCGAAGCUACGAAUCGAAGCCCCAGUAAACGGCGGCCGUAACUAUAACGGUCCUAAGGUAGCGAAAUUCCUUGUCGGGUAAGUUCCGACCCGCACGAAAGGCGUAACGAUUUGGGCACUGUCUCAACGAGAGACUCGGUGAAAUCAUAGUACCUGUGAAGAUGCAGGUUACCCGCGACAGGACGGAAAGACCCCGUGGAGCUUUACUGUAGCCUGAUAUUGAAAUUCGGCACAGCUUGUACAGGAUAGGUAGGAGCCUUUGAAACGUGAGCGCUAGCUUACGUGGAGGCGCUGGUGGGAUACUACCCUAGCUGUGUUGGCUUUCUAACCCGCACCACUUAUCGUGGUGGGAGACAGUGUCAGGCGGGCAGUUUGACUGGGGCGGUCGCCUCCUAAAAGGUAACGGAGGCGCUCAAAGGUUCCCUCAGAAUGGUUGGAAAUCAUUCAUAGAGUGUAAAGGCAUAAGGGAGCUUGACUGCGAGACCUACAAGUCGAGCAGGGUCGAAAGACGGACUUAGUGAUCCGGUGGUUCCGCAUGGAAGGGCCAUCGCUCAACGGAUAAAAGCUACCCCGGGGAUAACAGGCUUAUCUCCCCCAAGAGUUCACAUCGACGGGGAGGUUUGGCACCUCGAUGUCGGCUCAUCGCAUCCUGGGGCUGUAGUCGGUCCCAAGGGUUGGGCUGUUCGCCCAUUAAAGCGGUACGCGAGCUGGGUUCAGAACGUCGUGAGACAGUUCGGUCCCUAUCCGUCGUGGGCGUAGGAAAUUUGAGAGGAGCUGUCCUUAGUACGAGAGGACCGGGAUGGACAUACCUCUGGUGUACCAGUUGUCGUGCCAACGGCAUAGCUGGGUAGC